GGAAUAUUGCGCAAUGGAGGAAACUCUGACGCAGUGACGCCGCGUAUAGGAUGAAGGUUUUCGGAUUGUAAACUAUUGUCGUUAGGGAAGAUAAAAGACAGUACCUAAGGAGGAAGCUCCGGCUAACUACGUGCCAGCAGCCGCGGUAAUACGUAGGGAGCAAGCGUUAUCCGGAUUUAUUGGGUGUAAAGGGUGCGUAGACGGGAAAUUAAGUUAGUUGUGAAAUCCCUCGGCUUAACUGAGGAACUGCAACUAAAACUGGUUUUCUUGAGUGCGGGAGAGGAAAGUGGAAUUCCUAGUGUAGCGGUGAAAUUCGUAGAUAUUAGGAGGAACACCAGUGGCGAAGGCGACUUUCUGGACCGUAACUGACGUUGAGGCACGAAAGUGUGGGGAGCAAACA
rnacentral:rRNA from 1 species